UUUUUUGAAACUCAGGAAUAUAUCGACGUAUUUUUAGUCUCUCUUCCACUACAUGCAUGCACCUAGCUUUGUGAAGGACAUAAUUUGUCACGUGGAUAAGAAAUGGUACUACUGAAUAUUCAAGAGGACAAUUUUACAAUGUACAACCCACCAGCUAUCUCUCUUGUUCCAAAAAAUUGCAUGCUUUGCUUGGAUUUGAUUUCCUCCAAACUCUUAUGAAGGUUAUUACAUUGAAUGAUAAUGCUAUCUUGUUGACAAGCCGAGUACAUGGAUAUGAUAUUCACGAGGACGACAAGUAGGUUUAUAUAGGGACGGAGGGGGAGGGGGAGGGGGCUCGUACCAUGGUGGAGUCAUUUAUCCUUUGUACAACGAGGAUGAAAAGCAUGAUAUAUCACACUUAAUCCUUCUGCGUUCCCUGUAACCUCAACAAUAGGAUGAGCAAAUUUCUUGCUAACUCAUUGUUAGUUUUAGAGGAUCCCUCCAGACUGUUAAAAUUAGGCACACAAUAUUUUGAUGGAAAUAAGAGUACUCCUUGGGAAACCAUCACUAUAUCCUUGACAUGCCACCAUGAUAACCCCCAUAGAAGACACCGAUCAUAAUAGUCUCAUAAAUAGUUCCGACUAAGAUGCAACUAUAGAUCAAUCUUCUGGAUGAAGCCAAUGCCACGUACAAUCAUGAAGCCCUGCCAAGUGGGAUGGGAAUGACGUGGAAAAUUUCUCCUGCCAUUCUCGAGAAUAGAAAUAAAGUCAAGAUGAUGGUCACACACAAAUUCAUCAAAAAGGCCGCAGGGGGUCAACAUUGUCCUAUAUGCCAAUUAACCGGCCACCUAUAAGGCAAACUCCAAUGUACAACCCUGCGUGCGUCCGUUUGAAGUAAAACAAAACUAUACGGCCUAGCGCGCUGGCGCAAACGGACUUUAAUCCGAUUUUUGUCCAUUUUUGACACAUCCCCGGCCCAAGUUCGGGCCGCCUUUGGGGUGAAACGAACAGCGCGUGGACAGACCGGACGCAUGUGCUUGUCCUCCCCUGGCCUACCCGUCGGUGGCACAUGCCUCCCUUUUUCUAUCACCCACCCCACCCCUCACACACCGAGCCCUCCAGCCACACCCCCGCCACUCUUGUCCCUCGCCGCCGCCGCCACCAUUUGCCAUUGUGUUGAUCGGACACGCGCUCGCCCCAAACCUUCGUAGGCCCCGCUCCCUCAACGCCCCCGAGCUAUCCAACCACGGCCACCUGAUUUGCGCUCCCGGCGGUCGGAUUUGGAGCGGAUCCGGUCGGACUUGGGGCUCCCUUGGCUGCAGGGAGGCCACGCCGUGCCAUGGACUGGACGAACACUGGGCCAGGACCUCCCGGCAAGGCCGCAAUGCCGAAUGCAGGUACUGACUCCUCCUCUAGCCGUUCGGAUCUACCCCGUCGGUGGUUCAUAGGCAGAUACAAGGACGGCGGGAGGCCGGGGUCAUCGGCGCACCGUGGCCACUUAUUAAGUGCGAUGACUGCCCAAGGAUGGUCCAUCGUAGCAUGUCUACAACGCCGGAACAUCCCGAAUGGGUGUUCAUCAAGUGCCCAAACGAUGGAGAGGUAUGUGCUACUUUAGCAUAGUUUAUGCUCUCGGAUUUGACUAUCCGUGCUAACUUAAUUUUGUUGUUGUGUAGAAUGGAUGCGACUUUUGGUAUUGGAAAGAAGAAUACAUCGAUAUUUGGAUAGAACGUAAAUUAGUAGAUGUUCGUGCAUUUUUAGCUACAAUAGAGGUUAAAAAUAAGAAUAGUGCACUUGUUGCUACAAUAGAUGCUAGAGAUGAAAGUAGAUGCGACGGAGCAACGUCAACUUCUUUAGACACGAAGAAGAUAGAAGCACGCAAGAUCGAGCCUCCACAGAUCAACAACGAAUGCAUCAGAAGGCACUAAUCCAACUUACGGAAGCAGUUUUGGAAGUUGGAUUUAUUUUAAAAUGUCUUUUUGUGGUUAUUGUUUUGUUUGGUCUUUAUUGUAGUCAAAAUCUGAUGAUGUACUAUCAUGUAUCAAAAAUUAAUGAUAAAAAUAAAAAGAUAUGUGUUUGAAUAAAAUGUAUGCGGACGGGAUGCCGUUGAAAUGUGGCCGUGCAUUGGCACACGACCGACGCAUCCCAAAAAAGCUCCAGACACGACCCCAUUGCCCGCUUCAAACGGACAAAAACCGAACCAAACGGACAUCCGAAUGGGAUCGGACGCUGGAGUUGACCUAACCUAUUGUAUCAGGGGCCACAACCAGAUGCCCAUUAUGUGGACAACACCAACGUAACUCCGAGCCUCUGACCCCACCGCAAUGGAACAUAGUCAGGAGCCAUGUAGACAUGCCAGGAACCCGACCUGCAGAACCGUCCCUUGACUCAAGCGCUGCUCGACACCAUCCUCGUUGUCACACAAGGCACCACAGCAAACCACACAUCGCUGGCUUGAGUUGAGACAUCGAUCCAUUUGAAAUUUAGGAAUCCCACUCUAGGAGACCGCAGGUGUGACCUUACUGAAACCAUCCGUCAGGCAGUACAAACUGAAUCUAUUGAAGUUUGAAAUUAAAAUUGUAAGCACUCAAAAGCCCACCAAGAGAACUUAUCGUCCAUCUGAUUCCACAAUUUAACAUGAGAACGAUAAUACCAUUACUGGCAAAUAAAUUAACAAAACACUGGCAUAACUAAAUCCAAGACAGCGAGCACCGGAUAACCGAGGAAGGACAUUAAAAUGAAGUCAGCAACAAAUUAAGUCAUAAAAUAUUCAUGCAUCAGCAUUCUUAGUGGAAGCAUAAAUCAGAGUGCGAAAUAUAUACACGCCAAGGUUCUAAAAUGAGGAGCGAAAUAUUAUGACACUAUUCAACAUUGGUGUCAUAGGUUGCUAACAUAGUAGAGAUUCAGUUGGAAUUAGAAAAAUCUUGAAGGAUAAGAUUUACAAUUGCAAUGCGCCAUCUCAGUUGUAGCACAAUGUGGAAUGAUUUAUGAGCGGUCCAAAGGAAUCAUAACAAUAAUUGUGGCAAUUAUUUGCUGCCGGUAUGAUGAGGUACAUUGGAAUCAUCCCACGAAAAGAGCAUCACACUUCUUGUAUCUUGGAAGCCUCCAAUAAGGGCAGAUCCCUCAUCACUGUCGUGUAAAGGCGUACGUUGGCUGAAAGUAUGAUUUUUUUUUUCACGAUUGUAUGGUAAGCUACAGGUGACCCUUGAUCACAUUACCAGAGACAACUGGCACCCACUAUGGCGGCGUCGCGCAUAGUCCAGCGACAGUGUUGAAUUAGCACAAAUUAGGCUAACACCAGCACAGCCUAGCUAGAACAAAGUUUUUCUAAUUUGAAUACAAAGCGGGACAGGUUCGGGCGUCGUGUUACAUCCCUAGAGACAACGUAAUAGGGAGGCUUCGCAAUGGUGUUGUUGGGCUUCACAAACUGAAAUAAUUAGCAGUUCUGCAAGCUAUUCUUGGAUUUGGUUUUCUCCAAAUUCUCAUGAAACUAAUUAAGUUGAAGGUCAAAUGGUCAAGCCUAUCUUAUUGAGAAUCCGAUAGCAUGGAUGAUAUGAUAAUCAGGAGGAAUGGUUAGUGUAUAUAUAGAGGUGAGAGAGGAAGGGAGUAAGACUGGCGGAGUGGUUAUUGAAAGGAGAAACAAACCCAUGCUAGCUCACGGUUAGCAUGAUGGCUCUGCAAUAUCAAUAUUAUCGUGAGCAAAAGUUUCUUGCAACCCCACAACUCGUGUGACAAGGUUAACAAUAUAUAUUCGCCCCAAAAACCAAAAAGAAUCAAAAGAUAUGCCGUUAGAAGUAGGCACCCAGUAUUUCUGCACCAUAAUGACUCAUAUACUGCCUCCAUUCCUACAAUACACAAGAGCUUUUUUAUGGUACCCUAUACUUCUAUGAGAAGGGAGCAGUAUAUGUUUAAUCUCAUCGUUGAUUUCUUAAGGGCAUUUUAGUCCCUAAUUUUCACAUUAAAACUUUAUGUUUGUAUCUAUCACGAGAAAAUGCCGCCGCCUAGCAAUCUCACCUCACAUCGCGCCCCCAAGCAGGCAAGCCUCACCUCAAUCCCAAUACAUCCACCCCAUAUGCCUAGCCGGCCGUCCAACUCCCCUCAGCCCCUCUUGCCGCUGUCGCUGCCAUUGCAUUAGUUGGCUCUGUCCAAUCGCCAUGCUCCUCUUGUAGACCUUGCAGGAUCGUACAUCGAUGACCUUUCGGCAGGUCUUGAACAUCCACUGCCUUAUUGUGGAUUAGAAGUUCAGUUAUUCAUAAUUGGGUAUAAAUUUCUUCCAAACGUUAAUUGUCGCUCCUAGGAAGUAACCAAGCAUGAUUGCCCACAGACUGAACUAAUGUACUUAGCAACUUAAAACCUGAAUUUACGGUGGACAUGGACAACUCUACAAAGGUAAAUACUAAACUAUCCGUGAACACCUUUCGCCUACGUACUGUUGUCUUGGAGCCAUGGCGGGGAUGAUGCAUUUCUAUAUAGCUUUCUUUUCGACGGCGGCAAGCUCGUGAGCGGCGUCCGGUGUUUUUGCUACUAUUGAAUCAGGACACUGUAAGUAGCCUAAGCCAACGCCUCACAUACGAUUUGGUGAGGAGGACGGGUGGGAGAUGUCAGGUGAGACCUGCACCAAGCCACCGAGCGUCUGGUCCACGACUGAUUCACGAAGGGAUGGGAGAUGGGCUUAUGGAGAUGCAUGCGUGCGACGACGGAAAGAAUGAGAGAGAAAACGAGUGGAUCGCAUCAAUUAAUCUGACAAGUUAAAAAUAUCUUUCCAAAUUGCCCUCUAAUCUCAUACACUGCUCGCCUUAAACGAGCAGUGCACGUUAUACUACUAACCUAAUUCAGGAAGUAUAGAUCUUUUUGAGACGUUGGAUCUUCAAGAAUGAACGGCCAAUAUUCAUUUCAGGGUACCAUAAAAGAGCUCAUACACAAUAAUCUUCAUGCAUCUACGAGUUCUACAUCGUAUUAGAGCGGUUAGUCUCACGACGCCGAUCCUAGGUUCCUCAACCACUUCCGCGGCACGCCGCCUUCGGAAAGAUUGAUCUCUUCUCCUCGGGGGCGCGGCACCCGGUUUUGAUCGAAGGUUCGAUCGGUUCUUUAGAUUAGAUGAAUUCCACUUUUCGAAAUUUCUUAGAUCGAUUCUUUUUUGGCCACAAAUAAUUCCUACGAUCCUCAAAAUCCGGUGAAAAUCCCAUCAAGCAAAUUGACGAAACUCACUAGUAGAAAACAGGGCUUUGGUUCGGACCUGGCCAGCCCAUUAGUCCCGGUUCUUCAUGAACCGGGACCCAUGGGGGGCAUUAGACCCGGUUCAUGAGCCCAAGGGGCUGGCCGGGGCCUCGUGGGCAUUGGUCCCGGUUCGUCUGGACCCAUUAAUCCCGGUUCUAGUCACGAACCGUGACCAAUGGACCGCGCUCCUGGCCCAUAUCCAUUGGUACCGGUUCGUGCCUUGAAGCAGUAUAGAAGGGGGGGGGGGCUUUAUCCCGGUUUAUGCCACGAGCCGGAACAAAUAAUUUGUCUAUAUAUACCCAUCGCCGCGGCAGAGCACUCUGUUUUUUCUGACCGGCGGGGGGAGGGUGAAGUAGGCACCCACUAUUUCUGCAACAUAAUGACUCAUAUAUACUGCCUCCAUUCCUACAAUACACAAUAAUAUUCACGCAUCUACAAGUUCUUCAUGAUAUUAGAGCGGUUAGUCUCACGACGUCGAUCCUAGGUUCCUCAACCACUUUCGCAGCACGCCGCCCCCGAAAAGAUUGAUCUCUUCUCCUCGGGGGCGCGGCACCCGGUCUUGAUCAAAGAUUGAAUCGGUUCUUUAGAUUAGAUGAAUUCCACUUUUCGAAAUUUCUUGGAUCGAUUCUUUUUUAGCCAUAAAUAAAUCCUACGAUCCUCAAAAUCUGGUGAAAAUCCCAUCGCAAUCAGUGCAGGCGGCCAUGCGCCCACAGGCGACUACAUCCUUUCCGAGCAAAUUGACGAAACUCCGGCCUCCGAUUGCAGUGCACGGUGCGCUAAUAAAUACGUGCGCAUGCACUGAUCCGGCCGGCUCCAGACGGCGAUAUCGACCAAGCGCACGGGCGCUUGAUGGCCUACCGGAUCUAGCUGGCCGGGAUGCAUCAACACGGAACUUGAUCGAGUCGCUCCACAAGGACGGCAUAAGAGAAAAUCUUAAAAUGAUAUGUCGAUUUAGUCUUUUGGAGAUACUUAUAGGGAUAGGAUGUGCGUGCGUGCGUUCAUAUGGAUGCGUAUAUGUGUGUGUAUAUGAGCGCUUACGUCUGUACUAUGUUUAAAAAAAAGGCUGCGGCCGGGUCCAACCACUGCACGUGCAUGCAUCUACAUCAACCGCUUCAUCAGCGAGCCUGUUAGAGUUGUGCCGAAUAUUAUGUACAAGGUAGGUUACGAUUGGACUUGUAGUUGUAUUGUCUUUAGACAGGAUAUGGAAUCGUGUCCAAGCAGGACACUUAUAUCGUAGGCCUCUCAUAUAUAGCGGGGCUAGACACACGAUGUAAUCUAUGCCAACAUAAUAGUACAGGCACACGGGGGAGCCGGCGACGUGUGCCGCUGCCCCGGCGACGGGGUGCGGUAUUAUGACGAUGUCACGGGGAGGAGCACCCGUAGUCAUGCUCCGGGGAUGUAGCCAUAUCGGUGAACCUCGUUAACAAAUCUCGAUGUCGUGCUUAUGCGAUUGCUUGUUCUUCGAUGAUCAAUAAAGUGCCCUAGAUUAAUUCUAACAGAUGGUAUCAUGAGCCAGGUUCGAGAAGGUUGCGGGAUCGUUGAUUAAGAGAAAGAGUAUCAGGCCAAAGCAAGUUGUCUCGCUCGGUUGCAGCGUGUUCCUCGUCGGGAUCGGAUCAGACGUGGAAGCGACGGCACACUGCGGAAUACGCUUCUUGCGAUGCCGCGAGUUGGGCCACGUACGGAGCGAGGCGAUAUGGUGAUCUCGGCGAGUUGCGGGUGUACCGUGUACGCAGGCUACAACAGAUCGAUCGUACAUGAGUGAGGCGAUGGUGUGGAGCGAGGCGGGUGCGUGUGCCGUGUGGAGCGAGGCACUGGGACGUACGUACACUGAGGCCCAUAGUUUGGCAGGAGUCCUGUAGGCGCACGGCGAGCGAGGGCCUGUGGUGCGAGUACCGACGGAGCAAGCUAGCGUGGAGGCCGAACUUGGCUGAUUGUGUAAAGAGAUUGGGGCUGAAGCACUACGUACAAGCUGCAAAAGCAUGAGAUUUGUUAAGAAAAAACAAAAGGAAGCUACGUAACAGAUUGAUGCUAACCAUUGGGAGAAAGAGUUAGAGAAGAUCAAUGGAUCUACAGCCUACAGGAGCACGUGGUGGUCUUUUGGAAUUCUUUUGUUUGAUCUCCAUGGCCAAGUGCAACGGGAAGGCUUACAUGGCAGAAUUUGGUUUUAUUUCUUUGUACACAGGUUGUGUAUGAGAUGGUGCGUGAGGGUCUGUGAUGUGCGUGGCGAGGAUGGCGUAUAAGGUUUGAAGAAGUCUGGAGCGCGUCGUGACAGGGAUCAUGCAUUCACACGGCGAUAAGCAAUGCACGGAUGUGUGAGGCGGAUAUGACGCAAGGUGGAGCAUGGUUGCAGCCAGAUAAAUCUCGGCUGGGUCGAACUGGAUUGUUGACGGAUCGAUGAGGAUGUCGGUCAAAGCAGAAGAUGACGGUGAUUUCAGCAACGACGACAUUUGAGCGUGAUGCUGAUGGUGGCCACCUUCUGGGGCGUGGAAACUCGAGGGCUUGUACGGCUUCGACAGACUAUGACGCAGGGUUGAUUCAAGGCAGUGCACACAUGAGAGCUUAAAGUCGACAGGGCACAGGGUAGCACGGCCAGCUACAUGGAGUCAUGUUGAAGGUGGAGCUGGAGUCUGGUGGAAGACUUUACUCUGUGCUGAUGGAGGGGCUACAGCGUAAGAAUUCGGAGAAUCGUAGCCUAUUUCAGUGGGAUAGCGAGAGACACGUGGAUCGGACUGGGUACCAGUGGUCUGAUGGAGACGUGAUACUCGGCAUCGGUCGGUGAUGAUCGGUGGUUCUCUGCAAUGGGGUUUGAGUGGUGUGGGUUCGCGGCCUUGGGAGACUCGACCAGGACAACAGAGGCUCGACGCGGUGAUAGCGACGAGGCGUGCGGUAAGCACGGGAUACAGCGAGAUACCAAGGCACUGGUGGUCAGACAUGUGGUCAGACAAAGUGUGUAGAGGGUGCUGAAGCAGUGUUGACAAGUACCAGAUUGAAGUUGGUGACUGGGUCUAUCGAUGCUAGUUGAUGGACAGGAGUUGACCAUGGAGAAUCUGAGAAAGUGACGGAAAGUCUGAAAUUGUCAAAAAUGGAGAGAGUACAUGGUCGUAUAUUCUGUGGUGUUCAGUGCACAUGAUAAAGUGCAAAUGACAAGUACAGAAGGAGACGGAGUGCUAUAGUUGUGGGACAUGUCAGAGACUAUUCGGGAAAAAGGGUGAGACAACUGGGAAUUUGACUCAGGAUGACACAAGACGACGGUGAAACUCCUUCCAGUUUCAGACGGACAGUCAAGAAAGAGCGAGGAUGUUGAGUUCAGGUAAAUCUUAUAUAUGUCAUUCAAUAUGUGAGUUGUUCCCUUUCACGCAGGUCAGUGAUCAGUGUGUGAUCACGUUGAACGGAUACUCCGGAAGUUGGAAGCACAAAGUAGAGUGCUACCUCUUGAGCUUGCGUUGGUUUUUUCCUUGAAGAGGAAAGGGUGAUGCAGCAAAGUAGCAGUAAGUAUUUCCCUUAGUUUGAGAACCAAGAUAUCAAUCCAGUAGGAGUAUCAAGUCAAGUCUCCAAAGUACCUGCGCAAAAACAACAAACUUGCACCCAACGCUACAAAGGGGUUGUCAAUCCCUUCACGCUUGAUUGCAAGGUGAGAUCUGAAGGCGGAAAGUGCAACAAAGUAAAAGUGUAGAGCUGAAAAUAUGAUGUGAAGUAGACCCGGGGGCCAUAGUGUUCAGUAGAGGCUUCUCUCAUGAUAUCAAAUAUUACGGUGGGUGAACGAAUUACUGUCGAGCAAUUGAUAGAACCGCAAAGUCAUAACGAUAUCUAAGGCAACGAUGAUACAUAUAGGCAUCACGUCCGAGACAAGUAGACCGAUACUUUCUACAUCUACUACUAUUACUCCACACAUCGACCGCUAUCCAGCAUGCAUCUAGCGUAUUGAGUUCAUAACAAACAGAGUAACGCCUUAAGCAAGAUGACAUGAUGUAGAGGGAUAAAUACAUGCAAUAGAUAUAAACCCCAUCUUUUUACCCUUGAUGGCAACAACACGAUGCGUGCCUCGCUACCCCUUCUGUCACUGGGUGGGGACACCGCACGGUAUGAACCCAAAACCAAGCACUUCUCCCAUUGCAAGAACUAUAGAUCAAGUUGGCCAAACAAAACCCACAACUCGAAGAGAAUUACAAGGAUAUGAAAUCAUGCAUAUAAGAGAUCAGAGGAAACUCAAAUAAGAUUCAUAGAUAAUCAGAUCAUAAAUCCACAAUUCAUCGGAUCUCGACAAACACACCGCAAAAUAGGAUUACAUCGGAUAGAUCUCCAUGAAGAUCAUGGAGAACUUUGUAUUGAUGAUCCAAGAGAGACAAGAAGCCAUCUAGCUACUAGCUAUGGACCCUAAGGUCUGUGGUGAACUACUCACGCAUCAUCGGAGAGGCAAUGGUGUUGAUGACGAAGCCCUCCAUGUCUGAAUCCCCCCUCUGGCAGGGCACCAGAAUGUGCCCCAGAUGGGAUCUUGCGGAGACAGAAGCUUGCGGCGGCGGAAAAGUAUUUUCGUCGCUCUCUCCCGUGGUUUCAGAUUUUUCGGGGAUUUAUAGGCGGAAGAGGUAGGGCAAAGGAGCCACGGGAGGCCCACAAGCCUACUAGGCGCGGCUCCCCAGGCCAAGACUAGGAGGCUUGUGGCCUUCCCCGGGAGCCUUUGCCUUGGUUCAAGGAAAUACAUUCAAUCAAAGAGCAACUAUCAUAAUUGAAUUCCUUGAAAUCCAAAGUAGUAAUUUCAUUACUACUCAAAGUUUUGAUAUCCUCUACUCCACUUUCAAUGCUUUUAGCAUCGAGAUAGAUAGACUCCCAAUCAUUGGGGUGUUUCUCAACCAAAGUGGAUUCAUAUCCAGCCCCAUCAUCAUUAGGCUUGACAUUAGAAAACAAGGAUUCAAUGGGAGUCACACCAAGCACUUUAAGAUCUUCGUGAUUCUCAUCACGAGAACUCGCCUUUUUAAGCCAUUCAUGUCUAGCACGAAUUUGGGCGGUUCUUUCUUUACUCUCAUUCAUGGAACCAUGCAUAGCUUUCAAAGUUUCAUCCAUAUUGAUCUUGGGAGGAGCACAUCUCACUUUCAAAGCAUCAAUAUCAAGAGACAUUCUAUCAAUGGUCCUAGCCAAGUCAUCAAUUUUGAGUAGUUUUUCUUCUAUGGACACAUUGAAAAUCUUUUGCGAGUUGAUAAACUCUUUAGUAAUACACUCUAAAUCACAGGGUAAUUUCUUGUAAUUUCCAUGAGCAUUGUUGUAGGAAUUGCCAAAAUUAUUAGAGGGAUUACUAGGAAAAGGCCUAGGAAUAUAGUUACCUCUAAAAGCAUUGUUGUGGCCAAAAUUAUUCCUACCAACAAAAUUAACAUCCGAGCUCUCAUUGCUACUCUCAAUCAAGGAAGACAAGGGCAUAUCAUUUGGAUCUAAAGGAGUACCUUUACUAGCAAACAAUUUCAUUAACUCAUCCAUCUUAGCACUCAACGAGUUAAUUUCUUCUAUAGCAUGCAUUUUUUUACUAGCAGGUGACCUUUCAGUGUGCCAUUGAGAAUAGUUUGUCAUGAUAUUGUCUAGGAGUUUUGUGGCUUCUCCUAAUGUGAUUUUCAUGAAAGUUCCACCGGAAGCCGAAUCAAGGAUAUUUCUAGAAGCAAAAUUCAAACCAGCAUAGAACAUUUGUAUGAUCAUCCAAAUACUCAAGCCAUGAGCAGGACAAUUUCUAAUCAUCAAUUUCAUUCUCUCCCAAGAUUGUGCAACAUGUUCAUGAUCCAGUUGCUUAAAGUUCAUGAUAUCAUUACGGAGAGAGAUAAUCUUAGCCGUUGUAAAAUACUUGGAUAUAUAAGCAUCUUUGCACUUGUUCCAAGAAUCAAUACUAUUUUUGGGCAAAGACGAAAACCAUGUUUUUGCUCGAUAUCGCAAUGAGAAUGGAAAUAGCUUCAAUUUAAUCACAUCAUUAUCCACAUCUUUCUUUUUUUUGUAUAUCGCAUAAAUCAAUGAAGAUAUUAAGAUGGGAUGCGACAUCUUCACUAGGAAGGCCAGAAAAUUGCUCUUUCAUAACAAGAUUCAGCAAAGCAGCAUGGAUUUCAUAUGAUUCCGCACUAGUGGAAGGAGCAAUCGGAGUACUAAUAAAAUCAUUAUUAUUACUAUUCGAGAAGUCACAAAGUUUGGUGUUUUCAGUCAUGGUGACUUCAGCAAGCAGACAAGCACACAAGCGAACAGAAAGCAAGCGAAAGAAAAGGGAGUACGAAAAAGGCAAAUAUUUUUGUAAAUUUUUGUUUUUCAGAAAUGGGGGAGAGGAAAACGAGAGGCAAAAAAAAGUAAAUGCAAGAGAUGAGUUUGCCACAGUUACUUGGAUAAGCUUCACUUAGAAUAAUCCCCGGUGCCAGAAACUGACACAAGGAAGACUAUUCUUGACUUGAUGCUCCCCGGCAACGGCGCCAGAAAUUCUUCUUGCUACGUCUUGAGCUUGCGUUGGUUUUUCCCUUGAAGAGGAAAGGGUGAUGCAACACAGUAACAGUAAGUAUUUCCCUCAGUUUGAGAACCAAGGUAUCAAUCGAGUAGGAGUAUCAAAGCAAGUCUCCAAAGUACCUGCGCAAAAACAGCAAACUUGCACCCAACGCUACAAAGGGGUUGUAAAUCCCUUCAAGAUUGAUUGCAAGGUGAGAUCUGAAGGCGGAAAGUGCAACAAAGUAAAAGUGUAGAGCUGAAAAUAUGAUGUGAAGUAGACCCGGGCGCCAUAGUGUUCACUAGAGGCUUCUCUCAUCAUAGCAAAUAUUACGGUGGGUGAACAAAUUACUGUCGAGCAAUUGAUAGAACCGCGCAAAGUCAUGACGAUAUCUAAGGUAAUGAUCAUACAUAUAGGCAUCACGUCCGAGACAAGUAGAUCGAUACUUUCUGCAUCUACUACUAUUACUCCACACAUCUACCGCUAUCCAGCAUGCAUCUAGUGUAUUGAGUUCAUAACAAACAGAGUAACUCCUUAAGCAAGAUGACAUGAUGUAGAGGGAUAAAUUCAUGCAAUAGAUAUAAACCCCAUCUUUUUACCCUUGAUGGCAACAACACGAUGUGUGCCUCGCUACCCCUUCUGUCACUGGGUGAGGACACUGCACGGUAUGAACCCAAAACUAAGCACUUCUCCCAUUGCAAGAACUGUAGAUCAGAUUGGCCAAACAAAAGCCACAACUCGAAGAGAAUUAGAAGGAUAUGAAAUCAUGCAUAUAAGAGAUCAUACGAAACUAAAAUAAGAUUCAUAGAUAAUCUGGUCAUAAAUCCACAAUUCAUCGGAUCUCGACAAACACACCGCAAAAGAGGAUUACAUCGGAUAGAUCUCCAUGAAGAUCAUGGAGAACUUUGUAUUGAAGAUCCAAGAGAGACAAGAAGCCAUCUAGCUACUAGCUAUGGACCCGAAGGUCUGUGGUGAACUACUCACGCAUCAUCGGAGAGGCAAUGGUGUUGAUGAAGAAGCCCUCUGUGUCCGAAUCCCCCCUCCGGUAGGGCACCAGAACGUGCCCCAGAUGGGAUUUGCGGAGACAAAAGCAUGCGGCGGCGGAAAAGUAUUUUCGUGGCUCUCUCCCGUGGUUUCAGAUUUUUCGGGGAUUUAUAGGCGGAAGAGGUAGGGCAAAGGAGACACGGGGGGCUCACAAGCCUGCUAGGCACGGCCCCCCAGGCUGCGGCUAGGGGGCUUGUGGCCUCCCCUGGGAGCCUUUGCCUUGGUGCUCAAGCUUCCUGCAUAUCUUCUAUUCCAGAAAAAAAUCUUUUCGAAGGUUUUAUUCCGUUCGGACUCCGUUUGAUAUUCUCCUCUGAAAAAGGUCAACAACACGGAAAAAACAGGAACUCGCACUUGGCACUGAGUUAAUAAGUUAGUCCCAAAAAGAUAUAAAAUGCAUAUAUAACAUCCAAAGUUUGACAAGAUAAUACCAUGGAACCAUAAAAAAUUAUAGAUACGUUGGAGACGUAGCAUAGAGUAAUAAGGAACUUAACGUUGCUCGAGGGUUGACUGUGAAGAAGACGAGAAGGGACUACAGUUGCAGGUGGAGUCACAUGGAGUCUAGGAGUAGCCGCGAUGCUCAUGACGUAUCUCAAGUCCAAUGUACAUGGAGGUUCAAUGCAUAGAUGAAUCCAAGGUGACGGAGAAUAUUCGCCAAGGUGGAGUUUGUUAGAGUUGUGUUGAAUAUUGUGUACAAGGUAGGUUACAAUUGGACUUGUAGCAGUAUUGUGUUUAGACAGGAUAUGGAGUCGUGUCCAAGUAGGACACUUAUAUCCUAGGCCUCUCAUAUAUAGUGGGGCUAGACACACGAUGUAAUCUAUGCCAACAUAAUAGUACAGGCACGCGGGGGAGCCGGCGGCAUGUGCGAGCGCCCGGGCGGCCGGGGUGCGAUAUUGUGACGGUGUCACGGGGAGGAGGGUCCGUAGUCAUGCCCCGGGGAUGUAGCCAUAUCGGUGAACCUCGUUAACAAGUCUCGGUGUCGUUCUUAUGCGAUUGCUUGUUCCUCGGAUGAUCAAUGAAUUGCCUCGGAUUAAUUCUAACAUAGCCGACCGACACCGUCUACACGAGGACGAACUAGUGCACACGGCCGACUCGAACCACUUCAUCAAGCUAACUACGAGUUAAUUCUUUGUCAAGCAUAUCUUCGAGAAGCGACAACAACACGUAUCACCCACACACCAGACCCGCGUGGAAAGAGAUGCAUUUUUUUAUCGACUUCUCCGGCACGACACGACAUCAACACUUCAUUGCCACAGAGACGCAUUCAAGUCGACAUGCCGCUGCAACGCCAUCACCGAUGUUUCGUCGCCAAGGUCUUCAUCGCCAUUGUCUUCUCCAACAUCUUCGUCAACACCUAGUGUCCUCUGAUAGAUUUUUCUGCAAGGCUCCACCUCGAUGACGGCAAUGACCGCGUCACGACAACGCCAUCGACCGCGUCAUCCACGACGGUACAACUGUAUCGAGAUGGCAUCACUACAGUGACGACCCCUACAUGGCAUCACGGUUCUGGCAAACCAAUGUGUGCUCGAUGGGUUUCCUCCGGUCUUGGCAAAACCGAUGGACUCAUCGCCGACGAAACCCUCUGACAUCCGCGUACCGCAAUUUUUUGCGUCUCCGGCUUCGUGCGGCUUCAUCAUCGACGACGAUCACAUGUCGACCUGUUGGGGAACAUUGCAUGGGAAACAAAAAAAUUCCUACGCACACGAAGACCUAUCAUGGUGAUGUCCAUCUAUGAGAGGAGAUUAGAUCUACGUACCCUUGUAGAUCGCUAAGCAGGAAGCGUUAAGAAACGCGGUUGAUGUAGUGGUACAACUUCGUGCUUCAAAUCACCGUCGUCCCACGAUCCGUUCCGAUGUAGCGCCGAAGGAUGGCACCUCCGCGUUCAGCACACGUACACCUCGGUGAUGAUCUCGGCCUUCUUGAUCCAGCAAGAGAGACGGAGAAGUAGAUGAGUUCUCCGGCAGCGUGACGGCGCUCCGGUGGUGGUGAUGAUCUACUCCUGCAGGGCUCCGCCCGAGCUCCGCAGAAAUCUGAUCUAGAGGCAAAACUAUGUUGAAUAGGUUUGAGUUGCACGUGGCAAAGUUGUGUCUCAAAAACCCUAAAACCACCAGUAUAUAUAGGAGGAGGGGAAGGGAUAGCCUUGGGGCACAAGGGCCCCAAGGGUGCGCCGGCCGAAGUGGAGAGGAGGACUCCUUCUCGAAUUCGGUUUGGGAAGGAGGAGUCCUCCUCUUCCUUCCCACCUCCCUCUUUCCUUUUUUUUUCUUUCCUUUGGUGUUUUUCCCUUGUGGCGCCAUGGCCCAUUCGGCUGGCCUCACCAGCCCACUAAGGGCUGGUGCGCCAUCCUAGGGUCACUGGGCUCACUCCUGGGUGUGUGGGCCCUCCCGGUAAACACCCGAAACACAUUCGUCACUCCCGGUACACUGCCGGAAAUGCCCGAAACUUUCCGGUGACCAAAUGAAACCAUCCUAUAUAUCAAUAUUUGUUUCCGGACCAUUCCGAAACCCUCGUGACGCCCGUGAUCUCAUCCGGGACUCCUAACAACAUUCGGUAACCACACAUAUAACUCAACUAUACUAAAACAUCAUCGAACCUUAAGUGUGCAGACCCUGGGGGUUCGAGAACUAUGUAGACAUGACCCAGAUACUCCUCGGUCAAUAUCCAAUAGCGGGACUUGGAUUCCCAUAUUGGAUCCUACAUAUUCUCCAAAGAUCUUAUCGGUUGAACCUCAAUGCCAAGGAUUCAUAUAAUCCCGUAUGUCAUUCCCAUUUGUCGUUCGGUAUGUUACUUGCCCGAGAUUCGAUCGUCGGUAUCCGCAUACCUAUUUCAAUCUCAUUGCCGGUAAGUCUCUUUACUCGUUCCGUAAUACAAGAUCUCGUGACUUACACUUAGUCACAUUGCUUCCAAGGCUUGUUUGUGAUGUUGUAUUACCGAGUGGGCCCCGAGAUACCUCUCCGUCACACGGAGUGACAAAUCCCAGUCUUGAUCCAUACUAACUCAACGGACACCUUCGGAGAUACCUGUAGAGCAUCUUUAUAGUCACUCAGUUACGUUGUGACGUUUAAUACACACAAGGUAUUCCUCCGGUGCCAGUGAGUUAUAUGAUCUCAUUGUCAUAGGAAUAAAUACUUGUCACGCAGAAAACAAUAGCAACAAAAUGACACGAUCACAUGCUACGUUCAUAGUUUGGGUCUAAUCCAUCACAUGAUUCUCCUAAUGAUGCGAUCCAGUUAUCAAGUGACAACACUUGCAUAUAGUUAGAAAACCUUGACUAUCCUUGAUCCACUAGUGGGGACGGGGCCUUUAGCCCCGGCCCGUAAGGGGCUUUAGUCCCGGUUCACCAACCGGGACUAAAGGUGUGGGACUAAAGGCCUGACCUUUAGUCCCGGCCCUGUUACAAGCCGGGUCUAAAGGUGCUCCACGUGGGCGCCUCGUAGCGCCCCACGGGCAGGACCUUUAGUACCGGUUCGUUACACGAGCCGGGACUAAAGAGUUUCAGAUUUUGCUUAUUUUCGGGGUUUUUUUAAUGAAAUUGUUUUUGGGUUUUAGGGUUUUAGGGUUUAGGUGUUCGGGAAAUGCCUCGUUUGGUGUUCGGGAAUUAGUUUUCAUAUAAUUUAAAUAAAAAUAAUUAUGCAUAUAUAUAUAUAAGGUUAACUUAUCUUACAAGCGAGCAUAUAUAUAAAAUUAUAUGGAGAUCUGAAUUAUCGGGACUAGAGCCCAUCUAUUUGAUUACACGGACGAACAUCAGUAAUGGCCCCUAGCUACACUAAAUCGUCCUUUGUCAUCUAUAGCUUCCGUCCUCAGAAAGGUCGCAAGCUCCUCUGCAACAGCAAUCGCGCGUUGCUCUGGUAGGACCUUCGUCGUCAUGGUCGUGUGCUAUAUAAGAAGAGGAGAUGAAUAUGAAUAUCAAUCAUGAUAACAAAGAAUGACGGGUAAAAAUAGAGGUGUGAAUGUUCAUUGCUUACGUCGAAUCUGUGAUCCUUGUGCUUAGAGGUAAACGCACGAAUGGUCUCGCAAACAUAGUAUCCGCAUAGAUGCGUUCCCCGUGGCUGCUGGUCGCACUUUACGAGAAUAGAAUAUGUAUAAUCAAAAUAAUAAUCUAGCAUCAUAAAUGUAUUGAAAAUAGAAGUAUAUCAUACUACUACUUACCUGAGCCGCUCUAAAGGUCAACUUCUCAUGCUCGAUACCGGGAGUCACGCACUUGAACCGCUUCCAAACCCUGCCCGACAAGGAUAAUGAUUUGCUAAGUUUUUCAUUAAUUGAUAUAUCAAAAAAUCAUAGAAAGAGACCGAUAGAGCGCAAGAAUGAUUGAAAUUACCCUUGGAGCAUGUCCUGCAGGCUUUGGAACUGCUAUAAGGGUCUCGAUAAUGGUCAAAGGCAUCAACUCUUCCCUUAUCAAUUUGAAUGUCCAACCGAAUCCAAUGAAAGUUGCACAUGUAUAUAUAUAUAUAUGUGUUUGUCAGUAACUUAUCAAUUACACUUAUAAGUGAAUGGACACAACAGAGUAAAGACCCUCACCUGAAGUUGUAUGGAAACAAUAUGUGGUCACAGAAAUUUUGAUCUCUGAGAAACCUUAGAAGGUUUUCCUCCGUCUCCUUGGGAUAAUUAGUUAGCGUCGCUAUAUGUAUUUUAUCUGGGUCAGUAAACCCAAUAUUUAGGAUGCUCUUGCUAAAAAUAAACUAUUAACACUUAAGCAUAUACAAUAGCAAAAUUAAACUAUUAACACUUAAGCAUAUACAAUAGCAAAAUUAAGCAAUAAUCUAAGAAACACUAUUAACACUUAAGCAUAUACACUAUACAAUAACAAAAUUAAAUGACAAAAAAAAUAGUUCUUCUUCUUGUAACCCUAAACUAAUUUUUCCUUUUCUUCUAUUUCCUCUCUUCUUCUACUUCUUCUUCUACUUCUACUUCUCCUCUUCUUCUACUACUUCUCCUCUCCUCUUCUUCUAUUUUUCCUCUUCUUCUCCUCUCCUCCUCUUCUUAUUCUCCUUUUUCUUCUUUUCUUCUCCUCCACUUCUUAUUCUCCUUUUUCUUUCUUUCUUCUCCUUUUUCUUCCUUUCUCUCCUUUUUCUUCUUUUCUUCUCCUUUUUCUUCUUUUCUUCUCCUUCCCUUUUUCUUCCUUUCUNNNNNNNNNNNNNNNNNNNNNNNNNNNNNNNNNNNNNNNNNNNNNNNNNNNNNNNNNNNNNNNNNNNNNNNNNNNNNNNNNNNNNNNNNNNNNNNNNNNNNNNNNNNNNNNNNNNNNNNNNNNNNNNNNNNNNNNNNNNNNNNNNNNNNNNNNNNNNNNNNNNNNNNNNNNNNNNNNNNNNNNNNNNNNNNNNNNNNNNNNNNNNNNNNNNNNNNNNNNNNNNNNNNNNNNNNNNNNNNNNNNNNNNNNNNNNNNNNNNNNNNNNNNNNNNNNNNNNNNNNNNNNNNNNNNNNNNNNNNNNNNNNNNNNNNNNNNNNNNNNNNNNNNNNNNNNNNNNNNNNNNNNNNNNNNNNNNNNNNNNNNNNNUUUUCUUCUUUUCUUCUAUUUUUUCUUCCUUUCUUCUCCUUUUUCUUCCUUUCUUCUCCUUUUUCUUCUUUGCUUGUGCUGGCCGGAGUGUUGGGGAGGAGGGGGCGUGGGGCUUACCGGCCGGAGGUGUCGACGGCGCGCGGCGAGGAGGACGGCGGCGCACGGCGAGGAGGACGGGGCGGCACGCGGCGAGGAGGGCGGCGCGCGGCGAGGAGGACGGAGGAGGCGAGCAGGACGACGGCGACGGCGAGGAGGACGGCAGGCGGCGGCGAGCAGGAUGGCAGGCAGCCUGACGGCGUCGUCAAGUUCGUCGCUUGCCGCGCCGGGCAGGAGAACGAGAGGAAGAAGAAGAGAAAUGGACGAUUUGGAUACGAAAUUUUCUAACUCCCGCUUAUACAGGUGGAUCUUUAGUCCCGGUUCGUGGCUCGAUCGGGGACUAAAGCCCCUUUAGUCCCGGGUNNNNNNNNNNNNNNNNNNNNNNNNNNNNNNNNNNNNNNNNNNNNNNNNNNNNNNNNNNNNNNNNNNNNNNNNNNNNNNNNNNNNNNNNNNNNNNNNNNNNNNNNNNNNNNNNNNNNNNNNNNNNNNNNNNNNNNNNNNNNNNNNNNNNNNNNNNNNNNNNNNNNNNNNNNNNNNNNNNNNNNNNNNNNNNNNNNNNNNNNNNNNNNNNNNNNNNNNNNNNNNNNNNNNNNNNNNNNNNNNNNNNNNNNNNNNNNNNNNNNNNNNNNNNNNNNNNNNNNNNNNNNNNNNNNNNNNNNNNNNNNNNNNNNNNNGGAAGCAGGGGCCUUUAUUCCCGGGGCGUGGAAAGAACCGGGGCUAAAGUUUUGCCUAUAUAAACCCUCGCCCCUGCCCACCAUAUCCCCUGUUUUUUGGUUGUUGAAGUGUGACCAUGCCAUGCUCUUGCCACUCUAGUUCAUGCACAUGACGUGUUCGAUGAAAUGCCCGAGCCACUCUACUUAAGCUUUCUCCUCUCCAAGCUCGACCUCCAAGCUCCAUUUUCCUUAAUAUUUGUCUAGGUUUGACGUGCACCAACUGCGAGCACCACCGUGGUGAGCCUCUUGUUCUUAUCUUCUUUUUAAAAUCAAAAAAAAUUACUUGUAUGAUUUAGAUACAUACUUGUAUAAAUUACUCACUUUCAUUAUUUUUUGUUAUUAUAUAGUGCGAUGGUUUUGGUAUCCGCCUCCGUCGGCCCUCGUCCUGUAUAUGAUUCGGAUGUGGUAUAUAUUAUAUUUUAUAACUAUUUGUUUUAUUUAGUGUGUAUGACAAUUAUGACGACCAAUGUGACAUAUACUUUUUUAAUCUAGGAGGUAUGUGAACCGGAAAUUCCAACCCACAUAAAAAUUCUUGUCGAGAAGUUAAAUUUGGUUGAAAAAGAAAACAAAUACUUGAAGAAAAAAUUGAAAAUAAUUGAGGAUAAGAAUAUGGAACUCGAGCUGCAUAUCGCCGAUGUCAUCGAUGAUCGCAAGAUGAAGAUCGAUGCGAUGCGGUUGAAGAUGUAUGCAAUGGGCUUGAAGAUGGAUGAAAUGCGCUUGAAGAUUAGGAAUAUUAGAAAAUAUGCCAUUGAUAAAGAGGCUUGGUAUCAUUAUGCUCUUGGGUCAAUUGUAACCUUAGUUGCGAUUUUGAUUGCGUUUGUUGUUGCAUUUAAAUGUUUUACAUAGUUGUAUGUUGUUUUAUGAGAGAACUUUAUCUAUUUAUUUUUUGCAAUAAUAAUAUUUGAUACCUAUUGUUCUUUGGCUUUAAUUUGAUGAUGAACUUGUAUUAAUUUGGUCAUAUGUUCUGCAAUGGUUUUUUGAUAUAUUUAAUUUCAUAAUAGAGAUGAAUCGCCAAUGAUAAUAUUUAAUUUCAUAAUAUGGUUUUUUGAACUCCAUACUUUUUGUGUGUUCAACAAUUUCUGACUUCAUUUGGUAUAUUUCGUGCAUUUACUUUUUUUUGAGCUAGUUGACCCUGAAAUUGAAAAGCACUACAAAUGUUGAAAGUUGGCAUGCUAUCAUCAUUUCACCCACAUAGCAUGUGUUAAAAAGUUGAGAGGGCUACGACAAAAACUGGAUGCACUUCGUGUACAAAACGGACAAUCUCUCUCGAAGUAUUAUGGUUUCGAACGAGAACUCAUCUCUUACAAAAGGGAUUUCAUUUUUUUAAACUUAUUUGAAAUCCAUACUUUUUGUGUGUUAAAAAUGCACCAUUCAAAGGCAUAUCACAAAAUUUCAACAAUUUAUGACUUCAUUUGGUAUAUUUCGUGCAUUUACUUAAUUUUAUUGAGCUAGUUGACCCUGAAAUUGAAAAGCACUACAAAUGAACUCUGAAAAUGUUGAAAGUUGGCAUGCUAUCAUCAUUUCACCCACAUAGCAUGUGUUAAAAAGUUGAGACAGCUACGACAAAAACUGGAUGCACUUCGUGUACAAAACGGACAAUCUCUCUCGAAGUAUCGGGGUUUCGAACGAGAACCCAUCUCUUACAAAGGAAUUUCAUUUUUUGAACUUAUUUGAACUCCAUACUUUUUUUGUGUUAAAAAUGCACCAUUCAAAGGCACAUCACAAAAUUUCAACAAUUUCUAACUUCAUUUGGUAUAUUUCGUGCAUUUACUUUUUUUUGAGCUAGUUGACCCUGAAAUUGAAAAGCACUACAAAUGAACUCUGAAAAUGUUGAAAGUUGUCAUGCUAUCAUCAUUUCACCCACAUAGCAUGUGUUAAAAAGUUGAGAGGGCUACGACAAAAACUGGAUGCACUUCGUGUACAAAACGAACAAUCUCUCUCGAAGUAUGAGGGUUUCGAACGAGAACUCAUCUCUUACAAAGGGAUUUCAUUUUUUUGAACUUAUUUGAACUCCAUACUUUUUGUGUGUUCAAAAUGCACCAUUCAAAGGCACAUCACAAAAUUUCAACAAUUUCUGACUUCAUUAGGUAUAUUUCAUGCAUUUACUUAUUUUUUUUGAGCUAGUUGACCCUGAAAUUGAAAAGCACUACAAAUAAACUCUAAAAAUGUUGAAAGUUGGCAUGCUAUCAUCAUUUCACCCACAUAGCAUGUGUUAAAAAGUUGAGAGAGCUACGACAAAAACUGGAUGCACUUCGUGUACAAAACGGACAAUCUCUCUCGAAGUAUGAGGGUUUCGAACGAGAACUCAUCUCUUACAUGGAUACUAUGAAAAUGAAAAGUGUUUGAAAUUUAGUACAUUCCAUACAUGCAUUACAUAAAAGGUUUAAUACAUUAUUACAUUAUUGCACCAAUAUUCCUAUCUAUUAUUUCUGUUUUCUUCUGGGUCGUAGCCAUGGAGAAUCUUCAUCAUUCAGUAGGAUGCUUGGGUCAGUUUUCACUUUGAAGGGCGGAAUUUCACGAAACUUAUUAUAAUCUUCUGACAUGUCUGUCUUGUCAUCUACUCCCACGAUGUUUCUUUUCCUGAAAGAACUAUGUGGCGUUUUGGCUCAUCGGACAAUAUCUUCUUUUGCUGAUUUCUUUUUCUCGUUAAUGUAGACGUGUCCUUCACAUAGAAAACCUGAGCGACAUCAUUGGCUAGGACAAAUGGUUCGUCCAUGUACGCAAGAUUGUUGAGAUCCACUGUUGUCAUGCCGUACUUUUGGUCUACAACUACCCCGCCUCCUGUCAGCUUCACCCAUUUGCACCGAAAUAAAGGGAUCUUAAAAGUAGGUCCAUAGUCAAGUUCCCAUAUCUCCUCUAUGUACCCGUAAUAUGUUUCCAAACAGUGCCCAUUCUCGUCUGUUGUGGCUCAGGCAUCUCAUAUCGUAGUUGUGUUCGGUGAACUGAAGCGGCAUCGCUCUAACACACAUUUCAACAAACACCUCUAGUGCAUCAAAAAAAGUGGAGAGCAAGCACCCACCCACAAUCCUCCAUCCAAGAAAAAUGCAAGGAAGAGGGGAGAGGGGGGUGUGCUAUAUAUAGGCAGAGGACUUUAGUCCCGGUUUGAGACACAAACCGGGACUAAAGGUGGCGCACAUGCGGGCUGCCAACCGCGUAGCCCUUUAGUCCCGGUUUGGGACACGAACCGGGACUAAAGGUUCCUUACGGGCCGGGACUAAAGCCUCGAGGGAGGCAUUGGGAAUUGGGGCGACGUGGACGGGCCUUUAGUCCUGGCCCAGAGGCAGGCCGGGACUAAAGGGUCGAGGCCAAAGGCCUGUUUUCCACUAGUGAUCAACUGGCUAGCCAACUAGAGGCUUGCUAGGGACAUUGUUUUGUCUAUGUAUCCACACAUGUAUCUAUGUUUUAAUUCAAUACAAUUAUAGCAUGGAUAAUAAAUGAUUAUCUUGAAACAGGAAAUAUAAUAAUAAUAACUAUUUUAUCAUUGCCUCUAGGGCAUAUUUCCAACAGUCUCCCACUUGCACUAGAGUCAAUAAUCUAGUCCUCACAUCACCAUGCGAUUUACAUUGUAAUAAAUCUAACACCCAUACAGUUUUGGUGUUGAUCAUGUUUUGCCCGUGAAAGAGGUUUAGUCAGCAGAUCUUCUACAUUCAGAUCCGUGUGCACUUUGCAAAUAUUUACGUCCUCUCCUUCGACGUAGUCGCGGAUGAGGUUGAAGCGUCGUAUGAUGUGUCUGGUCUUCUUGUGAAACGUUGGUUCCUUUGCUAAAGCAAUGGCACCAGGUGUUGUCACAGAACAGAGUUAUUGGAUUUAGUGCGCUCGGCACAACUCCAAGAUCCGUCAUGAACUGCUUCAUCCAGACACCUUCCUUGGCUGCCUCCGAGGCAGCCAUGUACUCCGCUUCGCAUAUAGAAUCUGCUACGACGCUUUGCUUGGAACUGCACCAUCUUACCGCACCCCCAUUAAGAAUAAGUACGUAUCCGGUUUGAGACAUAGAGUCAUCCGGAUCAGUGUCAAAGCUUGCGUCGACGCAACCCUUUACAACGAGCUCUUUGUCACCUCCAUAAACGAGAAACAUUUUCUUAGUCCUUUUGAGCUACUUCAGAAUAUUCUUGAUCGCCGUCCAGUGAUCCACUCAUGGAUUACUUUGAAACCUGCCUGCCAUAUUUAUGGCCAAGCUGAUGUCUGGUCUAGUGCACAACAUUGCAUACAUAAUAGAACCUAUGGCUGAAGCGUAGGGGCCAGAACUCAUUUGUUCUCUAUCUUCCGCGAUUGCUGGGGACUGAGUCUUACUCAAUUUUAUACCUUGUAACACUGGCAAGAAUCCCUUCUUGGACUGCUCCAUUUUGAACUUCUUUAAAACUUUAUCAAGGUAUGUGCUUUGUGAAAGUCCUAUCAGGCGUUUCGAUCUAUCCCUAUUGAUCUUAAUGCCUAGAAUGUAAGUAAUGCCUAGAAUGUAAGCAGCUUCUCCUAGGUCCUUCAUAGAGAAACUUUUAUUCAAGUAAUCCUUUACGCUCUCCAAAAACUCCACAUUGUUCCCAAUCAGCAAUAUGGCAUCCAAAUAUAACAUUAGAAACGCCACAGAGCUUCCACUCACGUUCUUGUAAAUACAAGAUUCUCCAACCACUUGUAUAAACCCAAAUGCUUUGAUCACCUCAUCAAAGCGCUUAUUCCAACUGCGAGAUGCUUGCGCCAGUCCAUAAAUGGAUCGCUGGAGCUUGAAUACUUUGUUAGCAUUCUUUGGAUCAACAAAACCUUCGGGUUGCAUCGUAUACAACUCUUCCUUAAGAAAACCGUUAAGGAACGCCGUUUUGACAUCCAUCUGUCAGAUUUCAUAAUAAAAAAAUGCAGCUAUUGCUAACAUAAUUCGGACAGACUUAAGCAUCGCUACCGGUGAGAACGUCUCAUCGUAGUCAACUCCUUGAACUUGUGAAAAGCCCUUUGCCACAGGUCGAGCUUUAUAAACGGUCACAUUACCGUCCGCGUCUGUCUUCUUCUUAAAGAUCCAUUUGUUCUGAAUAGCCUUGCGGCCUUCAGGCAAUACUUCCAAAGUCCACACUUUAUUUUCAUACAUAGAUCCUAUCUCGGACUUCCUGGUCUCCAGCCAUUUGUUGGAAUCCGGGCCCACCAUUGCUUCUUCAUAAUUCGCAGGUUCAUUAUUGUCUAACAACAUGAUAGAUAAGACAGGAUUACCGUACCACUCUGGAGUAGUACGUGAUCUUGUGGACGUGCGAGGUCCGGUAGCAACUUGAUCCGAAGUUUCAUGAUCAUCAUCAUUAAUUUCCUCCUCAACCAGCGUCACUUCGACAGAGGUUUCCCCCUGCCCUGCGCUACCAUCUAGAGGGGUUAGAGGUUCGACCACCUCAUAAAGCUCUAUCUUCCUCCCACUCAAUUCUUUCGAGAGAAACUCCUUCUCAAGAAAAGCUCCAUUGUUAGCAACAAACACUUUGCCCUCGGAUUUGAGAUAGAAGGUGUACUCAACUGUCUUCUUUGGGUAACCUACGAAGACACACUUUUUCGCUUUGGGUUCCAGCUUUUCAGUCUGAAACUUUUUUACAUAAGCAUCACAUCCCCAAACUUUAAGAAACGACAAUUUUGGUCUCUUGCCACACCACAGUUCGUAUGGUGUCGUCUUAACGGAUUUGGAUGGUGCCCUAUUUAAAGUGAAUGCAGCUGUCUCUAAUGCAUAAUCCCAAAACGAUAACGGCAAAUCGGUAAGAGACAUCAUAGAUCGCACCAUUUCUAACACAAGUAUGAUUACGAUGUUCGGACACACCAUUACGCUGUGGUGUUCUAGGCGGUGUCAACUAUGAAACAAUUCCACAUUGUCUUAGUGAGCACCAAACUCGAAACUGAGAUACUCACCCCCACGAUCAGAACGUAGGAACUUGAUCUUCUUUUUACGAUGAUUUUCAACUUCACUUUGAAAUUGCUUGAACUUCUCAAAUGUUUCAGACUUGUGCUUCAUCAAGUAGAUAUAUCCAUACCUACUCAAAUCGUCAGUGAAGGUGAGAAAAUAAUGAUAUCCGCCGCGCGCCUCCAAACACAUCGGACCGCAUACAUCGGUAUGUAUGAUUUCCAACAAAUCACUUGCACGCUCCAUUGUUCCGGAGAACGGAGUCUUAGUCAUCUUGCCCAUGAGGCAUGGUUCGCACGUGUCAAGUGAUUCAAAAUCAAGUGACUCCAAAACCCAUCGGAAUGGAGUUUCAUCAUGCGCUUUACACCAAUAUGACUUAAGCGGCAGUGCCACAAAAACAUGGCGCUAUCAUUGUUAACUUUACAUAUUUUGGUCUCAAUGUUAUGUAUAUGUGUAUCAUCGCUAUAUAUCAAGAUUUCAUAUGAACAAUCCUCUCACAUUGGGUGCAUGACCAUAAAAGAUAUUACUCAUAAAAAUAGAACAACCAUUAUUCUCUGAUUUAAACGAGUAACCGUCUCGCAAUAAACAAGAUCCAGAUAUAAUGUUCAUGCUUAACGCAGGCACUAAAUAACAAUUAUUUAAGUUCAUAACUAAUCCUGAUGGUAACUGAAGUGAGACUGUGCCGACGGUGAUUGCAUCAACCUUGGAACCAUUUCCCACGCGCAUCGUCACUUCAUCCUUCGUCAGCCUUCGUUUAUUCCGCAGUUCCUACUUCGAGUUGCAAAUAUGAGCAACAGAACCAGUAUCGAAUACCCAGGCACUACUACGAGAGUUGGUUAGGUACACAUUAAUAGCAUGUAUACAAAAUAUACCUGAAUUUUCCUUGACCUCCUUCUUAUCUGUCAAAUACUUGAGGCAAUUGCGCUUCCAGUGAACCAGUCCCUUGCAAUAAUAACACUCUGUUUCAGGCUUAGUCCUUAGCAUUUUUUGAAUCUCAGGGAUAUACCGACGUAUUUUUAGUCUCUCUUCCACUACAUGCAUGCACCUAGCUUUGUGAAGGGCAUAAUUUGUCACGUGGAUAAGAAAUGGUACUACUGAAUAUUCAAGAGGACAAUUUUCCAAUGUACAACCCACCAGCUAUCUCUCCUGUUCAAAAAAUUUGCAUGCUUUGCUUGGAUUUGGUUUCCUCCAAACUCUUAUGAAGGUUAUUACAUUGAAUGAUAAUGCUAUCUUAUUGACAAGCCGAGUACAUGGAUAUGAUAUUCACGAGGACGAGAAGUAGGU
rnacentral:lncRNA from 1 species